rnacentral:rRNA from 1 species
AGGCCUUUCGGGGUACACGAGCGGCGAACGGGUGAGUAACACGUGGGUGAUCUGCCCUGCACUCUGGGAUAAGCUUGGGAAACUGGGUCUAAUACCGGAUAUGACCACAGCAUGCAUGUGUUGUGGUGGAAAGAUUUAUCGGUGCAGGAUGGGCCCGCGGCCUAUCAGCUUGUUGGUGGGGUAAUGGCCUACCAAGGCGACGACGGGUAGCCGACCUGAGAGGGUGACCGGCCACACUGGGACUGAGACACGGCCCAGACUCCUACGGGAGGCAGCAGUGGGGAAUAUUGCACAAUGGGCGGAAGCCUGAUGCAGCGACGCCGCGUGAGGGAUGAAGGCCUUCGGGUUGUAAACCUCUUUCAGCAGGGACGAAGCGUGAGUGACGGUACCUGCAGAAGAAGCACCGGCUAACUACGUGCCAGCAGCCGCGGUAAUACGUAGGGUGCGAGCGUUGUCCGGAAUUACUGGGCGUAAAGAGUUCGUAGGCGGUUUGUCGCGUCGUUUGUGAAAACCCGGGGCUCAACUUCGGGCUUGCAGGCGAUACGGGCAGACUUGAGUGUUUCAGGGGAGACUGGAAUUCCUGGUGUAGCGGUGAAAUGCGCAGAUAUCAGGAGGAACACCGGUGGCGAAGGCGGGUCUCUGGGAAACAACUGACGCUGAGGAACGAAAGCGUGGGUAG